UACAGAGGUGGCAAGCGUUGUUCGGAAUUACUGGGCGUAAAGGGCGCGUAGGCGGCCAUCUAAGUCAGACGUGAAAUCCCCCGGCUUAACCUGGGAACUGCGUCUGAUACUGGACGGCUUGAGUAUGGGAGAGGGAUGUAGAAUUCCAGGUGUAGCGGUGAAAUGCGUAGAUAUCGGGAGGAACACCAGUGGCGAAGGCGAUCUUCUGGACGGAUACUGACGUUGAGGCGCGAAAGCUAGGGGAGCAAACAGG
rnacentral:rRNA from 1 species